UACAGAGGGUGCGAGCGUUGUCCGGAAUCACUGGGCGUAAAGGGCGCGUAGGUGGCAGGCCAAGUCAGUGGUGAAAGCUCGAUGCUCAACAUCGAGUCGGCCACUGAUACUGGUGUGCUGGAGCACUGUAGAGGCAGAUGGAAUUCCGGGUGUAGCGGUGGAAUGCGUAGAGAUCCGGAAGAACACCGGUGGCGAAGGCGGUCUGCUGGGCAGUUGCUGACACUGAGGCGCGACAGCGUGGGGAGCAAACAGG
rnacentral:rRNA from 1 species